AGCUUUCUGAAUCCGUGCUGAGAUUUCGUCAGAUACCGACCUAUUAGGACUGAUCAGACUUCCAAGAUAAGUGAAGUU
rfam:Schistosoma margrebowiei strain Zambia genome assembly, scaffold: SMRZ_contig0006204